rnacentral:lncRNA from 1 species
AAAAAUGGAAAGUACUCUCAUUUACUCCCAACAACAACCUGCUUCUUCAAAUCUUAAACCUCCCAAACCCCCAAAUAUCCCUACAAACUCAGACGCAACCAUCACUUCCAAUAACAAUCCAAUAAGAAACAUGAUUAUUGACACACUCGAACUCAAUACCUCUACUACUGUUUCUACUCACAAAUCAUAUCUUCAUACCCUAACCUCUACUAAUGACAAUUAUUCACCUCAUACUGCAUAUGAACCUCCAAGCCUUUCCAUGAUGAUUGAUGAUGAAUUGGAGGCACCAAUCGAUGCCUCUAAUUUUAUUCCACUUUCAAUGAAAGAACAAAGUAGAAUUUAUAAACCUUGGCAAAAUGCAGUAAUUGUUAAGGUUUAUGGUUUUAAGGUAGAACAUCAACUACUUCGCAAAAAAUCUAUACCUUAUGGCAACCCACAGAAAAUCUACCUCUCAUAUAUUUGUGUUCAGAUUUCUUCCUCCUAAAGUUUCAAAAGGAAGAAAAUAAAAAUCGUGCCUUACAUAAUGGCCUUUGGUUCGUUUUAAAUCAUUUUCUCUCAGUUCGACAAUGGGAACCAAAGUUUAUGGCUUCAGAGACGAAAAUAAAUUAUUUUGCUAUAUGGCUACGACUACCGGAAUUACCUACUGAAUUUUAUGAUUUUCAUAUUAUUCAGAAAGUGGGUAAUAAAAUUGAAAAAUUACUAACAGUGGAUAAUUGUACCUCUUCAACAACAAGGGGUCGAUAUGCUAGGCUAUGUGUUGAAAUACCGUUGGAUCACCCUUUAAGAACCCAUGUUUAUAUUGGAAAUCAUAAGCAAAAUAUCUUUUAUGAAGGAUUGAAUUUGCUAUGUAUUAAAUGUGGUCGGAUGGGGCAUAAUCAAAGAGUAUGCACCUACCAGGUUCAAGAUGAACAUCGUAUUGUUACUACUCCUAUCAACAUAUCAGCCAUUCCUAACCCUCCCCACAAUCUAUCAACGGAAGAAUGGAAGACAGUGCAAUUCCAAAGAAUUUUUUUUUACGAAAUCUAAUUAUAACACUGCCAAUCAUUUGCCACAAGUACCUUCUUUAGCUCUUAAUCUAAGAGCUUUUCAGGUAAGUCUUCAUCCAUUACUCCUCAUCUUCUUUCUUUUACGCAAUUAACAAUUAAUAACCCUAAUACUAUACCUAGUACCCUGACAACCUUUAAAGAGACUAUAACACCCACUUUAACCACUAAUCAAUUUGAUACACUAAUUACUACUGAUUUGGAUAAGCCUGAUCUACUGCCUCAACAAGCAAAAGCAAAAGAUACAAAAUUAACUUCUUCAAAAUACACUCAAGUGUCUAUUUAAUCGACCCAAUCACAGCUUGGUCUUCAUUCAAAACCUAUACAAAACCGUGAAAAUGGCCACGUAAGCACACUACAAAUGCAACCACACUAUCCAAACACCCCUUCAUCAACACACAUGCAAACCCUAAUACAAGACCUACCAAACUAUACCACAUCCGCUUCAACCUCAUCAUCUUUCCCUAACCCUAAUUUGAUAAUUCCCAUGCAACUAGACAAUGAUAGUUUGCCCACCUAUUCAAACCAUACAAACACACUGCCACCAUAUCAAUUAUUCCAACCGACCCUCUCCUCUAUUGAUACAAAAUCUCCUAUAAUUCUAUCAAAUCCGGACACAACUACUCAAAUUCCACCCAACAAUUCAAUUAAUUCAUUCUCCAAGUUCCAACAUACACAAGAUGUUUUCCCCAAAUCUAAAUUACUUAUGGAGACAACAAUCCACAACCAACCAGUCCACUCAUCGUUUGCUACACAACCACAUACCUCACUCCCUUCCUCUAUCAUACUUGAUAAUGGAACCAAACACCAUUGUCUACACUGCACAGACUCCUAUGCACCAACACAACUCACCUCUUGGCUCGAGACAGGUUUACAGAGUCAUGCUCUUACUUUCACGAUGGAAGUCAACCAUCAAGAGGUGGCAAUUCUUAUAAACCAUCCGAGGGACCUAACUCAGUAGUGAUGGAAGGCAUGCAAUUAGGGAUAGAGAUUUACGGAAGGUACCAUUGGUCAAUGUCACAGGCUCCUUAUCUUGGGCCAUACCAUCAACCUCCUCUCCCAACACCAUAUUGGGACCCCUUCAUCUUCACCCACACUUUCUUCAGAUGUCGUUUUAUCCAAACCCCAAUAUUGCCGCUCCAUGGAUCCAACCUUACUGGGAUCCUCCACCACCUCCAAUCUCAGUUUCAUUACCCACCCACUCUCCAUCACACAGUCCCAAUCUAGUAGAACAAGACCAAAACUUUCAAGCGGAACUAGAUGCAACAGUCAUUUACAACAGAGAAACAUGUCCAAUUCAUGCAUUUCUAGAUGGAAUAAGGGUCUUUGUCUAGAAGGAGGAGUACGAAAGAAAGAUAUACAUAAGGUGUCCUACAAAUCUCCUAACGACAUCAUUUCGUCUAAGGCCAACUACAAAUCCAGCAGUGGGGAAGUAUGUAUCACGACCCCAGUUCACCCUCAGUGAGCUGCCGUGACGUCACCUAGUCUCUACGACUAGGUAAGCCUAACAAGUGCGGAAAUUAAAUGGAAACUUGCGGAAAUAUAAGUUAAAAGACAAGGAUAACCAAAAAGGAAAACAGUAUAUAGAUUGCCGCUCGGCAUAUACUGCACAACAUCUCAAACUGUUAAAACACUAUCCCAAAACCCGAAAACUCACGGAACAUAAGCUGAGAAAACACUACAUAGUUCUAAUCUCCGGAAUGUCUAACAAGAACAAAAGUACAGAAGGGCUAAAUACUAGAUGCAAGAAUAAAGAGAGACUCCUCAUUCUGCGGACACGACAGAUAUACCUCAAAGUCCCGUAGAAUCGCCUUGCCUCAAGAAUGAUAAGCUUGAGUAGAGGUACCUGGAUCUGCACAUGAAAAACAUGCACAGAAAGGGCAUGAGUACACCACAUAGGUACUCAGUAAGUGCCAAGUCUAACCUCGGUCGGGUAGUGACGAGGAAGGUUAGGGCCCUACUGAGGUUAAAUAAAAAUAUAAGGGUUAGCAGUAUGAAAUAAAGCAGUAUAAUUAAGUGCAACAGUAAGAAAAUAUCAUAGAACGGAAGGAACAACAACAACUAGUACAGAGACCACAAACCACGGAAGAAACACAACUCAACACAAAAAUAACAAGCGGGGCACCUUCCAGGAUACCGUCCUGUAGUCCCAAUUAAAACUAUCCAGUGGAUCUUCUCGGGAUACCGUUCCAUAGUCCAUCAUAUGUAUAUGUCCGAAGGAUCUCCCGGAAUCCCAUCCCGUAGUCCAACUAUCAAUGAGCGGGGAUCUAUCGGAAUCUGAUUCGUAGUCCUAAAUGUAAAUACCCAGUACUGGGGGAAUCUACACGGUGCAUUCUCGUAGUUCCAUAUAACUGUGCAGGGGGAUCUACCGGGAGUCUAACCCAUAGUCCCAAAGUAAACAGACAAUGGGCAGUUACCGGAAUCCCACAUCCGUAGUCCCAAUGUAAAUACACAAAUAGCAGCAAGAAGAUAUUCAGAAAUUGGAAAUUUCAUAUCAAGGCAUCAAGUAAUUCUAACCUAGCAUGCUGCACGUAGUUAAGGUAAAGCAUGUUUAACAAUAAGGCAAUGAAAUCAAUUAGACAUGCUCUCCUAAACUAACAACAGGUUUAAUUGAACAAGUAAUCAAAGUAGGAAAAGAAACAUGCUGAUAAAUACUUAGUGAAAACCAAAUUUUCCAACAAUUUUGCACAAGUACGCACUCGUCACCUCACGUACAAGGAAAUUCAAUUAGCAAAUACACCAAUCCUAAGGGUAAGGUCCCCCACACAAGGUUAGACAAGCCACUUACCUCGAACCGGCUCAAAAAUCAACUCGAAACCACGCUUUUGCCACGAGUAUCCGACUCCAAAGGGCCCAAAUCUAUUCAAUUUAAUUGCAUAUUGUAAAUAACACCUCAAGUAACUGAUUCUAGAAUUAAAUUCUAAGCUAAUAUGCGAAAUUACGUAAAAUGACCAAAAUGCCCCUCGGGCCCACGUCUCGGAAUCGAGUAAAAUUUAUGUUUUCAGAAUCCUCACACUCUCACGAGUCUAACAGUAUCAAAAUUAUCCCAAUCCGAUGUUAAAUACCCAAUCAAAGCCCAAUCUCUUGUUAUAAGAACUUUUCCCCCCAAUUUCUACCAAAAUUCCGAAAUUAAAGGAUAGAUUUAAGUGUAGAUUUAUGGAAAUUAGUCCAAACCGAGUAAGAAUCACUUACCCAAAUCGCCCAGGUGAAAAUCCCUUCAAAAAUCGCAAUCUACCGAGCGCCCAAAUCCAAAAUAUGAAUUAUGGUCUAAACCCUCGAUUUUGGAUUUUAAAAAUCAGCCCAGGGAUUUCCUUAAUCGCGAUCACGGAAGGCCAGUGGCAAUCGCGAAGAACAAAACUUACGCGCCUCAAAUUUACCUUACGGGAACGCGGAACCCCAUCCGCGAACGCGAUGCUUAGCUCACUCAGACUUACGCAAUCACGGUUGGCUUUACACGACCGCGUAGAGAAACAUUUACAACAAUACUGCCGCCUUAUUUCUUCUACGCGAACGCGGCCUAGUCCACGCGUUCGUGAUUCAGCACUUCCCAAAAGCUAUGCGUUCGCAUUUCUCUCCACGUGAACGCGAAGAGUAAAUUUCCCUAUGCCUCAUCCAAGCCUUCACAAUCGCGAGCCUCCUCACGCGAUCGCGAUGAAGAUAAACCUGCAACAAAAACCAACAACAAAUCUGAUCUUUCUCCAAGUCCAAAAAUGGUCCGUUGUGCAUCCAAAACACACCCGAGGCCCCCGGGGCCUCAACCAAACCUACCAACAUAUCUCAUAACUUCAUUCAAACUUGUUCCAACCUUCGGAACGCUCAAAACAACAUCAAAACACCUACAUUUCAUCGGAUUCAAGCUUAAGAAUUCCAAAAACUAUAAAAACACGCUUUCGAUCAAAAAGUCUAUCAAACCUCGUCUGAAUGACCUAAAAUUUUGCACAUACGUCACAUUCAACACUAUAGAACUAUUCCAACUUACGGAAUUCCAUUCCGAUCCUCGGAUCAAAAUCUCACCAUCGAACCGAAAAAUUCCAAAAUUCAACUUUCGGCAUUUCAAGCCUAAAUUAGCUACGGACCUCCAAAAUACAAUCCGAACAUGCUCCUAACCCUGAAAUCACCCAAUGGAGCUAACGGAACCAUCGGAUUUACAUUUCGAGGCCGUCUUCACACUGUUCCGACUACGGUUGACUUUCCAACACUUAAGCUCUCAUUUAGGGACUAAGUGUCCCAAAACUCUCCGAAACUUAAAAUCGAACAUCCCGGCAAAUAAAAAUAGCUGAAACAAGUUCAGGGAAAGCAGUUAAUAGGGGAUCGGGGCGUAAAUUCUAAAAAUGACCGGCCGGGUCGUUACAUCCUCCUACACUUAAACAUUCGUCCGUCCGUGAACGAGCAUAGAGACAUACCUGAAGUAGUGAAAAGGUGAGGGAAACAGCUGCGUAUAUCCUGCUCGGUCUCCCAGGUUGCCUCCUCGAUCGACUGACCCCGCCACUGAACCUUUACCUAAGCAAUGUUCUUUGACCUCAGCUUUCUGACCUACCUGUCCAAUAUUGCCACUGGCUCCUCAACAUAAGAUAAAUCCUUGUCCAACUAGACUGAACUGAAAUCCAACACAUGCGACGGAUCACCGUGAUACCUCCAAAGCAUCGAAACAUGAAAUACCGGAUGAACUCCUGCCAAGCUGGCAGGUAAGGCAAGCUCAUAAGCAACUUCCCCAACACGCCUCAAUAUCUCAAAAAGGCCAAUAAACCUCGGACUCAACUUUCCUUUCUUCCCAAAUCUCAUAACGCCCUUCAUAGGCGAAACCCGAAGCAGAACCCGCUCUCCAACCAUAUAGGAAACAUCACGAACCUUCCGCUCCGCGUAACUCUUCUGUCUAUACUGGGCUAUACGGAGUCUGUCCUGAGUUACCUUCACCUUCUCCAAAGUAUCCUGUACCAAAUCUGUGUCCAAUAGUCUAGCCUCCCCUGGCUCAAACAAACCCACCGGAGAUCUACACCACCUACUAUAUAAAGCUGCAUACGGCGCCAUCUGAAUGCUGGACUGAUAAUUGUUAUUGUAAGCAAACUCCACCAAUGGAUAGAACUGAUCCCAAUACCCUCCAAGCUCAAUCACACAUGCACGAAGCAUAUCCUCAAGAAUCCGAAUAGUGCGCUCGGACUGUCCGUCCGUCUAUGGGUGAAAUGUUGUACUCAACUCUACCGGAGUACCCAAGUCACGCUGAACGACCCUCCAAAAUCUUGAUGUGGACUGAGUACCUCUAUCCGAAAUGAUGGAAACUGGAAUACCAUGCAGACGAACAAUCUCCCGGAUAUAAAUCUCUGCCAACCGCUCCGAAGAAUAAGUGGUACACAUAGGAAUGAAAUGAACGGACUUAGUCAGCCGAUCCACAAUCACCCAAAUAGCAUCAAACUUCUUCAAAGUCCGUAGGAGUCCAACUACAAAGUCCAUGGUGAUCCACUCCCACUUCCACUCUGGAAUCUCUAUCUGCUGAAGCAACCCACCCGGCCUCUGGUGCUCAUNNNNNNNNNNNNNNNNNNNNNNNNNNNNNNNNNNNNNNNNNNNNNNNNNNNNNNNNNNNNNNNNNNNNNNNNNNNNNNNNNNNNNNNNNNNNNNNNNNNNNNNNNNNNNNNNNNNNNNNNNNNNNNNNNNNNNNNNNNNNNNNNNNNNNNNNNNNNNNNNNNNNNNNNNNNNNNNNNNNNNNNNNNNNNNNNNNNNNNNNNNNNNNNNNNNNNNNNNNNNNNNNNNNNNNNNNNNNNNNNNNNNNNNNNNNNNNNNNNNNNNNNNNNNNNNNNNNNNNNNNNNNNNNNNNNNNNNNNNNNNNNNNNNNNNNNNNNNNNNNNNNNNNNNNNNNNNNNNNNNNNNNNNNNNNNNNNNNNNNNNNNNNNNNNNNNNNNNNNNNNNNNNNNNNNNNNNNNNNNNNNNNNNNNNNNNNNNNNNNNCUUUGCCAUAGGCCUCUCUGAUGCUAGUAAAUAUGCCAAACUCCCCAAACUCUCUGCCGGGCGACUCAAGGCAUCAACCACUACAUUGGCCCUUCCCGAGUGAUAAAACAAAUAGUGAGGCAAGCCACCCAAUCUCUAAUGCUCAUAUUUCACCUGCUAACAAUUGAGGCACCAAGACACAAACCCCACUAUAUCUUUCUUUAUCCUUCUCCACUAGUAGUGUUGUCUCAAAUCCUGGUACAUCUUCGCGGCACCUAGAUGGAUGGAAUACCGCGAGCUAUGGGCCUCCUCAAGAAUCAACUACAGAAGCCCAUCAACAUUGGGCACACAUAUCCGACCCUCCAUCCUCAAUACCCCAUCAUCACCACUAGUCACAUCUCUGGCAUCGCUGUGCUAAACCAUGUCCUUCAGGACAAGCAAAUGAGGAUCAUCAUACUGGCGCUCUCUGAUAUGAUCAAACAAGGAAGACCGAGAAACCAGACAAGCUAUGAUCCGACUAGGCUCCGAAAUAUCCAACCUCACAAACCGAUUGGCCAAGUCCUGAACAUCAACUGCAAGAGGUCUCUCCCCAAUAGGAAUAAAUGCAAGAUUGCCCAUACUCACCGCCUUCCUACUCAAAGUAUUGGCCACUACAUUGGCCUUCCCCGGAUGAUAAAAAAUAGUAAUAUCAUAGUCCUUUAGCAACUCCAACUAUCUCUGUUGCCUCAAAUUGAGAUCCUUCUGCAUGAACAAGUGCUGGAGGCUACGAUGAUCAGUAAACACCUCACAAGACACGCCAUAGACAUAAUGCCUCCAAAUCUUCAAUGCGUGAACAAUGGCAGCCAACUCCAAAUUGACGAGAAGUAUAAGCGAUCACUCUACCCUCCUACAUCAACACACACCCUAUACCAACCCGAGAAGCAUUGCAAUACAUGGUAUAAGAACCUGAAGCUGAUGGCAAAACUAACACUGGAGUUGUUGUCAAGGUAGUCUUUAGCUUCUGAAAGCUCGCCUCACACUCAUCCGAACACCUAAAAGGAGCACCCUUUUGGAUCAAUUUGGUCAAGGGUGAUGCAAUAGAUGAAAAUCCCUGAACGAGCCGACGGUAGUAACCCGCAAAACCAAGAAAGAUACAAAUCUCUGUGGCUGAGUGUCACAACCCAAACUGAUAGGCCGUGAUGGGCACCCGAUACCUUACUCAACCGAGUACCAACGUAAUGUAUCUUUCUUAUUACAUCAUUAUAUACACGUGACAUACAUGAUCAUUUUUAAAUUCAAAACAUAGUCCAACAAGGUCGUAUAAUCUUUCACGUGCAUGACAUAUGUCUACAAGCCUCUAAGAGUACAUAAAUGUCAUAAAGGUCGGGACAGAGUUUCUCCAUACCCAACAAUACACGUCUAAAUCAUACUAACCAAACACGCAACUCCAAAGCAAAUGUAGUGCACCAACAUCUUCCACUGAGCUGAUAGCCUACUUGGAGGGCUCUCUACCUGUCUGUUUGGACCUGCGGGCAUGAAACGCAAUGUCCCUAGGCAAAAGGGACGUCAGUACGAAAUAAUAUACCGAGUAUGUAAGGAAAUAUACUGAAAGCUGAAACUAAACUGAUAAAAUAAUAACUACAAGUAGCUGGAAGUCAAAGACAAUCUGAAGGUGUGCUUACCUGCUGAUACUAACUCAACUCUCUCAAUAUACUAAGUAAAAUAGUUGUCCGGCCUUAUAAGGCUUGGUAUAUAUUUAUAUAUAUAUAUAUAUAACUGUUCUGUCGUAGUAGGCUCACUCAUAGGCGCUCGGCCAUACUAGGCUCUGUAUCUCGACCAACUGGGCUCACUCAUAGGUUCUCAGCCACAAUAGGCUCGGUAUAUAACUUACCAUCUGAUCAGAGAUUGCCCAAUAGAGGCCUGCCCAUCGAUUAUAACUCGAUGGUAAUGAAAAUACUUUUAGUACUGUAUAUAUGUAAACUCUCUACUCUUUUGACUGGAAAAAGGAAAUACUCUAUGGAAUAUGAAGUUCUGAUAAGAAGAAUAUCGUAACUUGCGAGACUAGCAAAAUAUACGUAAAUUCCGGGAUACAAAUUUUUCAUGCUUCAUUAUCAAACUUGUGUAAUGACAAGAUCAUUCCAAAAUGAAGGAGGAGCUUAUCCUUAAUAUACCUAUUUCUUGAAUUAUAUGAACGAAUCUGCUUCUGCGAAAUAUGAACGAAACUACACUUGGGUUUCCUUGAAAUUGAACGAACUUGCUUUUUGCUUCUAAUAUUUGUGAGCUAAGGAAUGAUUUUAAGCUGCACUUGUUUCCAACGUUUUUUAAGUUGGUUGAAGCUUCUGUUUCUUUCAGAAUGCAUAUAGAAUUGUAAUCUCUUCAAAUUGUAAAUAUCACAUAUGUAUUUUAAUGGUUUGCAUUCUUUAUAAAGAGAGUGGGCCCUAUUCUUUUGUAUGACUAAGCCAACUAAUGUUCUUAAUAUGCCAUAUAUAGGUAAGCUUUUAAGAGUUACAUUUUUGUGACUUUUGUGGCUGCCACAUUACUAGGUAUAAAUUAUUCAAUAUUUAUCCACUUAUUACUUAAUUGGGUAAUGUCUCGUUACUCGAUAAUUAAUUAAUUACCCGCAACAUUAAGAAUUAUUCCCACUUACUUAAAAUACUACUCAGUUUUCACAUACCUUAUACAUCCUACUAUUAUGGUCAUGUGGUACCUCGUAUGGUACUAGUCCAUAAAUACCGAGUAUUUUAGCUCGGGCCGUAUUUUAUCCCAACAUGCCAAACUUGGAUGAAAAUUCAUUUUAUUUUACUUGCUUCCCUUCUCACCUUCACGAAUUUACUUGUUACUUGGUUGAAAUAGCAUAAUCCUUAUAAUCUCCAAAUAAUCUUUUCCUUGGACUGAUGUCAAAUACCUUACGGCAAAUUCAUCGUAUAAUACUACAGGGUGAAACAUCAUCGUAAUGUAGUACUGCGGGACGUGACAUCUCACUUCCGGGCUCUCAUUAAUUUAUUUAUGGCGUACUUUCAUGUACGAAAAUAUAGGGUAUAACAUCAUUCCCCCCUUUUGGAACAUUCGUCCUUGAAUGUUGAAUGAUGCACUUAUCGUUCUCAUAUCCCGUAGCUCUUGCGAAUACUUUAGUAGUCCUUUUGCCAUCUAGGCAACUGUUCUGUGAAUAAGUCCAAAGGUCAGGGCAUUCCCCCCUUUAAACGUCUUUCCCACGCUAUGACUUGUGAUCGAAUUCCUUCCAAUCUCAUAACUGGUGCUACCUCCCAUCAUGCAGCCUCUACGAUACUGACCUUGUAAGUGUGCUUAUACGACUCUCCUCUCCCUUUUCCUCCAAUUUUUAGCCAAUCCUGAAGUUCUCCUCUUUUUUUUUGCCGAACUUACGAAUAUUGCUAUAUCUUAUUUUAUAGACCUGGUUAUCCAUUCGUAUGACUUUACUGCAUCUAUAUAGGUCAUACUAUACCAUAACUCUUACCUCGACUUCUUGUUACUGAGGUCUGCUACCAAAUCUCAGGUUAGUUUUAUUGCUUAUCCCAUACGUAUAAAUCUAUGUCAUCUAAUGCUUCCACACUACUGUUCAUCUUAAGAAUGACGACCUAAUCACUUCUCCUACUUUAUAACUUUUAUCCAUCCAUUGUUGAUUCACCUCAAUUUUGAUCCAUAAUGCACCCUAAUAACUUAACCUUUUAUGUAAUAUUGCUGCUAGGGUUCACGUUUUAUCGGGGAACAUCUGAAAUGAUUAGAUUGAUCCACCUGGGGCGAUACCCUGCUUUUAUAACCGUAUCUCAUGGCAUCCCAAUGUGAUUUACCUUGUGUGGGUAUUUUAAUCAUGUCCAAUUCAUGAGAUCCCUUUCUUUUAUUCGUCAGAUCAUUACUCAAUCGAAGGCCCAAAUGUCAUUUUUUUGUCUAUUACACCCUCAUUCUAUUAACAGGGCAGCAUUCCAUCUCUUCUGAAUGUUAUUAGUAUUAGACUCCUUUGAGUUUAUUCAGGCUAUACUGAACUUUCUAUAACUUAGAGAAACCAUUACCUUUCUUCUUUUAUGGGUUUUAAUCCCGAGGACUUAUCCGUGUAUUGGUUCAGAUAAAUCCAUUUUUUAUCAAAAAUCAAAAACGAAGAAUUUCAUGACUUUAUUGACCUGACUAGGAAAAAAGAAGUUUUUCAAUUUUUUAUGAUACUUCUUAAUUGUUAAUUGAAUGAAAUUGUAAUGGGUAUGAAUUGACGUAGAUGCUUUUAUUUUAUUGGACCACUAUCAAUUCUUUAUUCGUCGAACGAGUAGUUUAAACCUAUCGAUUUUGGAUAUCAUUUAUCUACUUUGAAACCAUUACUAUUAUUAUAACUAUAAUAUAGAAAUCCGUUUUGUUUUCAAUCUAAAUUAAGCUAGGAGUCUCAUUAACCAACCACUAGUUUGAAUUGAACAAGCAAAAAUAUCAUUCUUUUUGAUCCGAACUAAGCCUUCGUAAUUCGGAAUUUAUUUCGAAN